GUUCUCAUAGUGUAGUGGUUAUCACGUUUGCUUUACAUGCAAAAGGUCAUCGGUUCGAACCCGAUUGGGAACA